AUUGCUUCUCCUAGCAUUGUCCCUUUUAUGAUUCUGCUUUAACUCAAACUGUCAGAAAGGGUGUAGCAACAAGCAAUAUGACUGUGGUGCCCAGGAUUCCAAAAAGAAUCCUUCAGUGUUACCAUGCCAACCAGCAUCCAUCCCAAGAGUUGCCUCUGAAUAAGCCACAGUUGGAGGGGCCUCGUUCGAGAAUCUAAGUGGAGUCAAAGUUCUGCUUCACCAAGGCCCACAAAAUGGUAGCAGUAGACUCAUUCCAGUUGUCCAGAGUCCACCCACUUUGAACUUAGAACAAAGAGAACUCUCCAUCCAGAGUUUGGAUAACUCUCCCAUCAAGGUUAACUGACAUUGAGAUCACCAUGUCUUCGCAACAUGAAACAAUGCGCACCAUGCAAAUACUCUUCUUUCUCCCAGAGAAAGCAUGUGAAUGCUUGGGCAACAUUUAGAAAUUGCCGAUGUGGCAUCUCCAGGAGACUUGCUUUUUCACACAUGGCCUGAGUUCCUUCCUUCCCAGCACGCCUGCCUGCCAAAUCUCAUCCCUACCUCUGCCUGAGGCCUCCAGAUGUUAGUAGUGAUGGAUGGAAACAGGACCAGGACUGAAUCCAUACGUGGUCACAGCACCACUGCCCCUGGUUCCUGGAGGCAGCCUGGAGAGGAAGCUUUAUUCCUCAUUAGUGAGAGAGCUGAUGGCUACAUGUUGACAUGAAGGACUCCUUUUGUUGUAUUCAACAUAAAGCCCCUUUCCCCAAACUCUUACUCUGGUUUCUUUAUUUUCCUACUCCCUCUACUACCUCCAACUCUUUUUCUUUUCUUUCUUUCUUUCUUUCUUUUUUUUUUUUUUUUUGCUGGAACUUUAUUGUGGUAUAAUUUACUUAACAAAGUUUACUCAUUUCAAGUGUAUGAUUCUCAGUACAUUUAAAAUUGAGCAACCCAUAUACACCAUGGAAUACUAUGCAGCCAGAAAAAAUGAUGAGUUCAUGUCCUUUGUAGGGACAUGGAUGAAAUUGGAAAUCAUCAUUCUCAGUAAACUAUCACAAGGACAAAAAACCAAACACCGCAUGUUCUCACUCAUAGGUGGGAAUUGAACAGUGAGAACACAUGGACACAGGAAGGGGAACAUCACACUCUGGGGACUGUUGUGGGGUGGGGGGAGGGGAGAGGGAUAGCAUUAGGAGAUAUACCUAAUGCUAAAUGACGAGUUAAUGGGUGCAGCACCCCAGCAUGGCACAUGUAAACAUAUGUAACUAACCUGCACAUUGUGCACAUGUACCCUAAAACUUAAAGUAUAAUAAAUAAAUAAAUAAAUAAAAUAAAAAUAAAAUUGUGCAACCAUCACCACAGUUUAAUUUUAUCACAUUUUUAUCACCCUAUUUGCAGUCAAUUUUGGGUCCUUUCUUUUGGCAGCUGCGAUGCCUGGGCCAUCUGCUGUCACCAUCUCCUGGGAGAGAUGAUCUCGAAGAGAAGAGCCCAGAGAAAGUUCAUCCAAAGGAAGAAAGUUCUUUGUUGCUCCCACCAAAACCUCACUCUUCCCCUAGACUUGGGCUCCUAUCACAGCCUUGGCUUUGAUCCCUGAGAGCCUCUUUCCUGGACAGUACAGUGCGGGGAGAUGGUGCAAGCCCAUUUCGACUUCACACGCAUGUGAAGCUGCCAAUGUGUGCUUCUGUGGGAAGAGCAGUUAAGAGCCGGGGUUCAAAUGCAAGCACUACCAUUUACAAGCUAUGCAUUGAAAAACUAACCUCCCGGGGCUGCAGUUUCCUACUAUGUAAAAUGGAAAUCAAUAUAAAUAUAAAUAUAAAUGUA